rnacentral:pre_miRNA from 1 species
GAAAACUUAAAAACUACCGUUGAAUCAGAAAAUGAACGUCUAUGAUUCAUUUAUGUCACAAUGAGUAAAAGUUUUACUAUUGAUGAUGAGUAAACUUGCCAGUAAAAUUUUUACUCACGGUGACGUUGAUAAAUAUCAGACUUCUAUUUUCCGAUUCAACGGUAGUUUUCAUAUUUC